ACUCCCUGCUGCCCGGGCUGUGCGCUGCAGGUGCUCGCGGGUUCAGCAGGGGUGCAGCACGGGGACCUUGCCCUUCUUCUCCCUGCCCAGGUGGCACGGCACCCUCCAGCCCGCUCCUCCUGGCCUGACAACGGGCUGCGAGCUUCUUUAGCCCAGAUUCUCCUCUGCUCCGCUGCCGCCGGCCACCCUGCCCGCCUACCUGUGCCGGACUGGUGCGCGCUCUCACUCUCUCUUCCUGGGAGACCAUCGACCAGAGCGCACGCAUUUUCGUGGGGGCGAAGGAGGAGGGCAUGGCCACCAGCGAGAAGGAGCGAUUUUCAGGACUGCUCUUCUUCUCGCUCUCCCGCGCCGAGAGAGCUCUUCUUUCCACCUCUAUGGCCAAAGAGAAGAACAGAUCAGGACCGGGGAGUCCGUUCCUUCAGCGGCUUUGAGACUUCCAGGUCUGGUGGGCCUUAGAGUAAAGAGAGAAUUGCAUGUUGAUACACCUUCUCUGCAUGGGGGAAAUGCCAAAAAGAUCCAGCAUCUGAAAGAAGAAUAAUCACUGCAGGCAAAUGUAACAGACACCAAGGUUCUCAGUCCAAGCUGGGAGUGCAGUGAUGAUCACAGGAUUGCCAGUGUUUGUUUUGUGAAACUGUAAACUGGGGAAGAUUUUUGCUUAGGGGGUUCAAGAUAAUCUAUUUAGCCAUGCUCUCUGGUCCAAGUAGAUAGAAACAGUACUAACAAGAGAGAUCAAAAAGAUUCAAGGGAUUUCCCAGUAUAAAGUCUUUCUUCCAUAAUCAUAAUAAUAACUGCCAUUGAUGGAGGAUCUUAGCAUUUGUAGAAUGCAAUACAUUCAUUAUCUUAUUUGAACUUGACACGCACUCGGGGAGGUGGUUACUCUGAGUAGCAUUUUGCACGUUUUUUUUUGUAGUUAAAAUUGAAGCUCAUUAAGGUUAAAUGUUUCCCCCAUGGAUGCACAGCUAGUAGAAGGUGGAGCUGGAUUUGGAGUUAGAUCUUCCCAGCCUCCAAGUCCAGCACUUCAUCCAUUGGGUGUCUUCUUACAUCAUUGUCUUCUUAUGUAGUCCUUUUCUUUCAGGAAUGUCAAAAGACUUCCCCUUGACAAGUUCACGGAUGUUUAAAAAUGUUCUUCAGAGGUGGACAGAGUUAAUUACUUUCCGGGAGACAAAAAUAAUGAAGCAGGCAGAUGUUAAGUGAUUUGCCAUCAUGAAGCCUUCCCCAGCCUUGUCUGCUGGACUCCUUCCUCAAAGGAGGCCCAUAUGGUAAGGUGGAAAGGUCACUGGACUUGAAGUCAGAGAGACCUGGGUUCAAAUCCUAGUGCCUGUGUGAACAUGGACGAGUCGCUUUAUCACACUGGGUUCAGUUUAGUCAUCUGUAAAUCAAGACAAUAACCAUUGUACUUCCUAUCUUUCAG
rnacentral:lncRNA from 1 species